UUCGCAAUGCCCGAAAGGGUGACGAAGCGACGCCGCGUGUGGGAAGAAGGCCUUCGGGUUGUAAACCACUGUCGGGAGUUAAGAAAUGCAAGGGUGUUAAUAGCACCCUUGCUUGACUAAGGCUCCGGAGGAAGCCACGGCUAACUCUGUGCCAGCAGCCGCGGUAAUACAGAGGUGGCAAGCGUUGUUCGGAAUUAUUGGGCGUAAAGAGCACGUAGGCGGCCUUGAAAGUCAGUUGUGAAAUCCUUCCGCUUAACGGAAGAACUGCAUCUGAUACUCCAGGGCUCGAGUGCGGGAGGGGAGAGUGGAACUUCUGGUGGAGCGGUGAAAUGCGUAGAUAUCAGAAGGAACGCCGGCGGCGAAAGCGGCUCUCUGGUCCGUAACUGACGCUGAGUGUGCGAAAGCUAGGGGAUCAAACGGGAUUAGAUACCCCGGUAGUCCUAGCCGUAAACGAUGGGCACUAAGUAGAG
rnacentral:rRNA from 1 species